rnacentral:rRNA from 1 species
GUAGGGAAUAUUUCACAAUGGGGGAAACCCUGAUGCAGCGACGCCGCGUGAGUGAUGAAGGCCUUCGGGUCGUAAAGCUCUGUCGUAUGGGACUAACACAAUGAAGGUACCAUGCAAGAAAGGAUCGGCUAACUUCGUGCCAGCAGCCGCGGUAAGACGAGGGAUCCUAGCGUUGUUCGGAAUCAUUGGGCGUAAAGCGGGUGUAGGCGGAUUUAUAAGUCAGGUGUGAAAUCCCAGGGCUCAACCCUGGAAGUGCACUUGAUACUGUAAAUCUUGAGUGUGGUAGAGGUUACUGGAAUUGUUGGUGUAGUGGUGAAAUACGUAGAUAUCAACAGGAAUACCGGAGGCGAAGGCGAGUAACUGGGCCAACACUGACGCUGAGACCCGAAAGCGUGGGGAUCAAACAGGAUUAGAUACCCGAGUAGUCC